rnacentral:rRNA from 1 species
AUACGUAGGGGGCUAGCGUUAUCCGGAAUUACUGGGCGUAAAGGGUGCGUAGGUGGUUUCUUAAGUCAGAAGUGAAAGGCUACGGCUCAACCGUAGUAAGCUUUUGAAACUAAGAGACUUGAGUGCAGGAGAGGAGAGUAGAAUUCCUAGUGUAGCGGUAAAAUGCGUAGAUAUUAGGAGGAAUACCAGUUGCGAAGGCGGCUCUCUGGACUGUAACUGACACUGAGGCACGAAAGCGUGGGGAGCAAACAGGAUUAGAUACCCUGGUAGUCCACGCCGUAAACGAUGAGUACUAGCUGUCGGGGGUUACCCCCCUCGGUGGCGCAGCUAACGCAUUAAGUACUCCGCCUGGGAAGUACGCUCGCAAGAGUGAAACUCAAAUGAAUUGACGGGG